CUCCUACGGGGGGCUGCAGUGGGGAAUUUUGCGCAAUGGGCGAAAGCCUGACGCAGCAACGCCGCGUGGAGGAUGAAGGCCUUCGGGUCGUAAACUCCUGUCAGUAGGGACGAAUGCUCCGAAAGGGGCUUGACUGUACCUGCUGAGGAAGCCACGGCUAACUCCGUGCCAGCAGCCGCGGUAAUACGGAGGUGGCAAGCGUUGUUCGGAAUUAUUGGGCGUAAAGGGCGCGUAGGCGGCUUUGCAAGUCAGAUGUGAAAGCCCCGGGCUUAACUCGGGAAUUGCAUCUGAAACUGCUUUGCUUGAGUCCUGGAGGGGGUAGUGGAAUUCCCAGUGUAGCGGUGAAAUGCGUAGAUAUUGGGAGGAACACCGGCGGCGAAGGCGGCUACCUGGACAGUGACUGACGCUGAGGCGCGAAAGCUAGGGGAGCGAACGUGAUUAGAUACCCGGGUAGUCCUG
rnacentral:rRNA from 1 species